rnacentral:rRNA from 1 species
UAGGGAAUCUUCGGCAAUGGACGGAAGUCUGACCGAGCAACGCCGCGUGAGUGAAGAAGGUUUUCGGAUCGUAAAGCUCUGUUGUAAGAGAAGAACGAGUGUGAGAGUGGAAAGUUCACACUGUGACGGUAUCUUACCAGAAAGGGACGGCUAACUACGUGCCAGCAGCCGCGGUAAUACGUAGGUCCCGAGCGUUGUCCGGAUUUAUUGGGCGUAAAGCGAGCGCAGGCGGUUAGAUAAGUCUGAAGUUAAAGGCUGUGGCUUAACCAUAGUAGGCUUUGGAAACUGUUUAACUUGAGUGCAAGAGGGGAGAGUGGAAUUCCAUGUGUAGCGGUGAAAUGCGUAGAUAUAUGGAGGAACACCGGUGGCGAAAGCGGCUCUCUGGCUUGUAACUGACGCUGAGGCUCGAAAGCGUGGGGAGCAAACAGGAUUAGAUACCCUGGUAGUCCACGCCGUAAACGAUGAGUGCUAGGUGUUAGACCCUUUCCGGGGUUUAGUGCCGCAGCUAACGCAUUAAGCACUCCGCCUGGGGAGUACGACCGCAAGGUU